AUACGGUAACAUGCGCCACGGGAAACUAUAGGUGGUGAGAAAGGGUAUACGUGUAGAAGAUAGUUGAGUGCUUUCAGAGAUGGCAAAACCUGUUACCUAGGAGUGGGAUACACGGGGAAUAGGAGCUGGAUUGCUAGAACAGAGGUGCCGAAUUCAACUUGGUUUCACCGGCUGGGACACCAAAGCAAGUUGUGAGUGACCAAAGCACCAUGCGUGACACGGCUUGAAAAUAGACUCUCAUACAUACCCAGCAACCAGCAUUCGAGAAAACAAAAUUGAACGCAAUACUGAUAAACACAAACUCCGAGCAAACACCAAGUAUUGUUUGUUGAUAGCACACCUACGGGUCUGGAUUCAAGUGGUUUUCGCAGCUUGGCAUUUGCUUAAUUGUGGCUGUCUAUAGAUUUGCUUCUACCUUUUUGUACCUUUGCCGGUGGAUAGCGCGUAAGGGUGUGUUUGGUUGGAUGUACACGGUGGGUUGGAGGGGGCGGCCACAGUUUCUAUCGUGUUUGGAUGAGAGUCACGUAGGGCUAACUUUUUGUGAAGGGACAUUUGGAUCGUGAUCCAUUACCAUCUUUAGUUGUGGUUUUCUAGUGAUUUAGUUUGUGGUUGAGGUGCUCAAGAAGUUUAGGUCAUGUUUCAUCAUUUGACGCCUUUGUUGUUGGUUUAUGUGUGUGCCUGCAAGACACAAGGGGAUCAGAGGUUUACCUUAACGCUUUUAUGUAGACUCACCGUGCUCGUUACCAGCCUAGGAAGGUGCUUGACGAGGGGUUGACCAUCGUG
rnacentral:lncRNA from 7 species